rnacentral:rRNA from 1 species
GGAAUCAUGUAUUGAAUGUAAUCGGAGUGGGAUGUAGCUGGCCUCUUCAUUGAGGGCAUGUGCACGCGUUCUCUGUUCAUCCACACACACCUGUGAACUUGUGAGACGGGUAGCCCCUUCGGGGGCCGUCCGUCUGCUACACAUAAACUUUUAUAUAUAAAUUUGAAUGUAAUUGAUGUAACGCAUCUAUAAACUAAGUUUCAACAACGGAUCUCUUGGCUCUCGCAUCGAUGAAGAACGCAGCGAAAUGCGAUAAGUAAUGUGAAUUGCAGAAUUCAGUGAAUCAUCGAAUCUUUGAACGCACCAUGCGCUCCUUGGUAUUCCGAGGAGCAUGCCUGUUUGAGUGUCUUGAAAUCAUCAAACCCCUCUGGUUUCUGCUGGAGCGGGUUUGGACUUGGGGGUUGUGUUGCCUCAGGCGGCUCCCCUUAAAUGAAUCGGUCGGACUUUAGUGAGGCUUGUCCCUUGGCGUUGUAUCAACCUCGUCGUUGGAUGGCUCGCGAGCUUAGCGCCCCUCCAAGACCAGCCUGUGGAGUGGCGGUCAACUUCAAUUGGUGAUGUGACCUCAAAUCAGGUAGGAAUACCCACUGAACUUAAGCAUAUCAAUAAGCGGAGGA